CUAGGAUAACUCUGCUUGAGGGAGGCUGGACCAGAUGACCCACUGUGAUCCCUUCCAACCAUAUCCGUGACGUGAUUCUGUGAUUCCCAGCUCUAACUACAUGAAUACAGCUCAGGAAAGAAAGGUCUGGAAAUAGCUGCCUUGGAGACAUCUGCGGGGAAAAGGACAUCUGGGCUUGAGACACCCUGAGCAAGACCCAGAUGGGAGUGUCCAGCCUGGCAGUGACACAGCUCCAGGUGGAUCCCAAGGGAAUUAUCCGGCGUCACAUCAUGGGAUGGAGGAGAGAGCCACGGGGCAAACACAUGGAUUGGAGCAGCAGGAGUAGUGGUUCUCCCACUGCCUCCUCCCAUGGCUUUUGCAGCUGAGCAGUGCUGCUCCAGGGUCACUGCGGUGGAAGCCAGGGCACUGUGCCAACGUCAGCACAAAUGCUGACACAAAUGCAAGCGCACUCUUCUGCCUCAGGGAUGAGCACACGGGAGCUCCUGGUCUCCCUUGCCCUGUGUUUCUGCACUGUGUUUCUCCCUGGAGCCCCCCAGAGCACCUCAGAAAAGGAGCUGAUGCAGGGAGCUGCAGGAUCCCCACCACAGAUACUGGAAUUUUUGAGAGAAGCAGUAAAGAGACUGCCUAGCAAGACUGUAACUGGGCUAAUAACCCUGAUAACCCAAGGCUACAAAGAUGACUUGGGAACCUGAAGGGGAGAUUACUUCUAGUUGAGCCCACACGAAACACUGGGCUGGAUUUAUUGACAUGAGUCACACACACUAAUCCCCACCUCAAGGCUUUCAUUUGGCACUGAGCUCUUACUUUUCAGUCCCCAC